rnacentral:lncRNA from 1 species
AGCUCACCCCUCUCCCCUAACCCCAGGUUUGCAGGGUCAGAGAUAGUCAGGAGAUCAGCAGGUUACGUCCAUGGUCAUGUUUAUGUAAUAGAAUAGUAGUGGACAUGAUGUAAUGUAAGGUUAUGUAUUGAUGUAAAAAGAGUUAUAUUGUAAUAUGACUUUUUGUUAUAUGUUCAGAGUUAUAGUAUUGUGCUUGGCCCGAGUUGGUUAAUCCCUUUAUACAUGAGUUUUAUUUUAUGUCGUUUCAUGUGAUGGACCGAGUUUGACAAAGGGUAUGCUGACCCUAGGGGUUCUAUGAGUUCAGUCAUAGUGCAUAC